UGCCGCCUCCCAGUCUUCUCGCGAGAACACUUCCUCCGUAUCGCGCGAGCUGCUGCCUGGUUCUGUACUCUUCAAGUAGUAAAGCCCACUGGGAGGUCCACCACUUGCCAGAGGACUAUGCAGUCCAGACCUAGCCGCUUUAAGGACAGGCGGGCGGGGCCGCGGCCCCUGCGGUUGUCGUUGUUAGCGCCAAGUGAAGGCGGAGGAGGCUCGUUAGUGUGGUUAAUAAUAAUAUUUACUGCAUUUCAGGGAUGAAUGCUGCGUGGCUAAGACUGGACGUCACAAUGCAGAGGAGGUGCCAGCUUGUAAAUGCUGCUCGCCAUUUAAUGUGUACCAGGCAGGAAGAGUGGCGUUUGCUUGCUGGACAGUCUCUUCAGCAAGGCAUUCCUGUCUCCAGUGCUCAAACUCUUAGUAUGGUGAUGCACUGCCACAGGGUGUAAGAGCCUCUGGGGCAACUGACACAACAGCUGAAAUAUAUAGUUAUUUUAAUUUCUCAA